GUGUCCUCUCACAGGUGGUUCUGACCCAAUCAGAUCCUGUAGUGAAAAAACCAGGAGAAUCCCAUAAAUUGACCUUUGCAGUCACUGGGUUUAACCUUAACAGCUCCUGGAUGAUUUGGGUCCGGCAGAAGCCCGGAAAAGGACUGGAAUGGCUAGUUUACUAUUACAGUUCUGCUUCUGGGAACAGUUACUAUUCCCCUGCUAUUCAAGGGCGAUUCACAGCUUCCAAGGACAGCCCCAACUUCUAUCUGCAAAUGAACAGCCUGAAAGCAGAAGACACGGCUGUGUAUUACUGUGCAAGAGAGAGACAGUGCUAG